GACGAACGCUGGCGGCGUGCUUAACACAUGCAAGUCGAACGGAAAGGCCCUGCUUUUGUGGGGUGCUCGAGUGGCGAACGGGUGAGUAACAUGUGAGUAACCUGCCCUUGACUUUGGUAUAACUUCAGGAAACUGGGGCUAAUACCGGAUAGGAGCUCCUGCUGCAUGGUGGGGGUUGGAAAGGUUCGGCGGUUGGGGAUGGACUCGCGGCUUUUCAGCUCGUUGGUGGGGUAGUGGCUUACCAAGGCUUUGACGGGUAGCCGGCCUGAGAGGGUGAGCGGCCACAUUGGGACUGCGAUGGGGCCCAGACUCCUAGGGGAGGGAGCAGUGGGGAAUAGUGUGCAGUGGGCGCAAGCCGGAUGCGGCAGCGCCGCGUGGGGUAUGACGGUCUUCGGGUAGUGAAGCGCUUUCGCCUGUGACGAAGCGGGGGUGACGGUAAUGGGUAAAGAAGCACCGGCUAACUACGUG
rnacentral:rRNA from 1 species